rnacentral:rRNA from 1 species
UACGAUAGAGGCAAGUGUUGCUCGUAAUGACUGGGCGUAAAGAGCGCGUAGGCUGUCUAUCAGUACAGAUGGUGAAAGGCUGUGCGAAAUCAUAGAAACACUUAAUGUAAAGAUAGACUAGAGUUAUUCUCAAGUUACUAGAAAUCUUAGUUCAGGGCUCAAAUCUGUUUAACCAAGUAGGUAUAUCAAAUGGCGAAGGCAUUUAACUAGAGGUAACUGACGCUGAGGUGCGAAGGCAUGGCCCGCGAAUGGG